UGGACCAUGCCGACCAGAGAGGCCAGUUUCUCAUCUCUCAUCUCCUCCAGGACACCCAGAAGACCGGCUUUGAAGAACACCUGAGACACAGUUAAAUGAAGAAGAAAGAACAAAAGGAUGGAUAGAUCAACUGGAGAGAUUUUAUAUGGUUUCUUACAUAGAUCAUCCAUGCUGCAUAACGCUCUUUGAGGUUAUACAACACAGAGGCUUCAUUCAGUGCCGUCAGGUUUGGUGAUUGUUACAGUACACUUCCCAUCGGCCCUGGCAGUGACCAGACCCUUAAGGCUUACGGAGGUAUAUGGCAGCCUUGCCGUAGAUUUGCAUCUCAGCGUCCGUACUCAUGGUGACGGAUCACUAGCAAACAGAUGAAACAAGAAACAUGAUUGACUCUGUGGUGCUUCCUCCCCAGUCAACAGAGUUAGAUGAAUGUGUACUUCUUGGAGGACCCUGUGAAACAUAAGGUGUUGUGAAAACGCACAAGUCUAAAGGAGUUGAGGCUGCUGAGGGGAGGACGGCUCAUAAUAAUGUCUGGAACGUAGCAAAUGGAAUGUUGUGAAAACACACAAGACUAAAGCCUUAUCAUUUAGCCACCGAACGGCUAAAAAACA